GUCUACAGUCACAGCACCCUGAAUGCACUCGGUCUCCUAUGAUCUCAGAAGCUUAGCAGGCACGGACCUGGUUAAUAUCUGAAUGGGAGAAAGAAAAAGCUACUUUAACGCACAUAAUAAACAAAGGAUUUAUAGGCA
rnacentral:rRNA from 1 species